GACGAACGCUGGCGGCGUGCUUAACACAUGCAAGUCGAACGGAAAGGCCCCUUUGGAGGUACUCGAGUGGCGAACGGGUGCGUAACACGUGAGUAACCUGCCCUUGACUUCGGGAUAACUUCAGGAAACUGGGGCUAAUACCGGAUAGGAAUCCUUGCUGCAUGGUGGGGGUUGGAAAGCUUCGGCGGUUUUGGAUGGACUCGCGGCUUAUCAGCUUGUUGGUGGGGUAGUGGCUUACCAAGGCUUUGACGGGUAGCCGGCCUGAGAGGGCGACCGGCCACAUUGGGACUGAGCUACGGCCCAGACGCCUACGGGAGGCAGAAGUGGGGAAUAUUGAACAAUGGGCGGAAGCCUGAUGCAGCAACGCCGCGUGCGGGAUGACAGCCUUCGGGUUGUAAACCGCUUUCAGCAGGGGCGAAGCUUGUGGUGACGGUACCUGCAGAAGAAGCACCGGCUAACUACGUG
rnacentral:rRNA from 1 species